rnacentral:rRNA from 1 species
AUUGAACGCUGGCGGCAGGCCUAACACAUGCAAGUCGAACGAGUGGCGGACGGGUGAGUAAUGUCUGGGGAACUGCCUGAUGGAGGGGGAUAACUACUGGAAACGGUAGCUAAUACCGCAUACCAUCAGAUGUGCCCAGAUGGGAUUAGCUUGUUGGUGGGGUAACGGCUCACCAAGGCGACGAUCCCUAGCUGGUCUGAGAGGAUGACCCGGCACAACGGAACUGAGACACGGUCCAUACUCCUAAGGGAGGCAGCCGUGGGGAAUAUUGCACAAUGGGCGGAAGCCUUAUGGAGGCCUGCCGGGUGGAAGAAGAAGGCCUUCGGGUUGGAAAGGACCUUCAGCGGGGAAGCGUUACCCGCAGAAGAAGGACCGGCUAAAUCCGUGCCAGCCGCCGCGGUAAUAC